ACAUUAAGCAAAUAAAAUGCAUUAUUGUGUCAUCACAUGACACUUAAACUAUUUUAGAAAAGUGUGCAUUAAAACUGUAAAUGAUCCUCUGUUAAUAAUCAUACACCUUCAAAAUGAAUGCUUGCAUCAUCGUGUUUCCUUAUUCAGCGUCUUUCAACAUCUCCAGGCUCUAAAGACACUCUCUGGCGGGCAUCCUACACUAGUAUCCUGUUAGCUUGAGUGCUGGAUCAUCUAGUUCCAAGAUACUGAGAUCGAAUCUCGCUGGCCUGAGGAGGAGGAGUCUUUCUGCAGCAGCUGAAGGCCAAGAUUGGAUAGCUCCUUCUUUAUGCUCAUCAUGAUGUCAGAAUGGUUCUCGUACUGCCGUAGCUGAUUGGUCAGAGUCGCCACACUGUCUCUCACAAAGUCAUUCUCCCGAGAGAGGUUCAUCUUUAUCAUCUGCAUGAGAUAUGAACUGAAAUGCUCAGACAGAUGGACAAAGGAGAAGAAAAGAUGGAAAGAGUGAAGCAGACAGGAAUGGUGCAGAGGAAAGAGGACAGGUGCUAUAAAAACACACUUGCGAACACGUGCGCCGCAUACAUGCCCAGAAUUCUGCCGUUCAACAUUCUCAAGGGUUGAGAGAGGAGGGCGGAGCCGUGCAGGAGCAUUUACAGUCGGCUCCGGAACUCACCGUCUCCACCGUGUAAAAAUCUUCCACGCGCACACUUCCUGUCCGCAAGCGAGCGCAUGCGUCCCGG